rnacentral:rRNA from 1 species
AGUGAACGCUGGCGGUAGGCCUAACACAUGCAAGUCGGACGGCAGCACAGGAGAGCUUGCUCUCUGGGUGGCGAGUGGCGGACGGGUGAGGAAUACAUCGGAAUCUACUCUGUCGUGGGGGAUAACGUAGGGAAACUUACGCUAAUACCGCAUGCGACCUACGGGUGAAAGCAGGGGACCUUCGGGCCUUGCGCGAUUGAAUGAGCCGAUGUCGGAUUAGCUAGUUGGCGGGGUAAAGGCCCACCAAGGCGACGAUCCGUAGCUGGUCCGAGAGGAUGAUCAGCCACACUGGAACUGAGACACGGUCCAGACUCCUACGGGAGGCAGCAGUGGGGAAUAUUGGACAAUGGGCGCAAGCCUGAUCCAGCCAUACCGCGUGGGUGAAGAAGGCCUUCGGGUUGUAAAGCCCUUUUGUUGGGAAAGAAAUCCAGCUGGCUAAUACCCGGUUGGGAUGACGGUACCCAAAGAAUAAGCACCGGCUAACUUCGUGCCAGCCGCCGCAGUAA